UACGUAGGGUGCGAGCGUUGAUCGGAAUUACUGGGCGUAAAGCGUGCGCAGGCGGUUUUGUAAGCCAGAUGUGAAAUCCCCGGGCUUAACCUGGGAAUGGCAUUUGGGACUGCAAGGCUGGAGUGCGGCAGAGGAGACUGGAAUUCCUGGUGUAGCAGUGAAAUGCGUAGAUAUCUGGAGGAACACCGAUGGCGAAGGCAGCCUUCUGGGCCAACACUGACGCUCAUGCACGAAAGCGUGGGGAGCAAACAGG
rnacentral:rRNA from 1 species